rnacentral:rRNA from 1 species
GGCGAACGCUGGCGGCGUGCUUAACACAUGCAAGUCGAACGGAAAGGCCUGCUUUCCCUUGUGGAUUGCGGGUACUCGAGUGGCGAACGGGUGAGUAACACGUGAGUGAUCUGCCCCCAACUUGGGUAUAAGCCUGGGAAACUGGGUCUAAUUCCCGAUAGGACUGCAGGGUGGUGCCUGUGGUGGAAAACGAUUUUCUAGUGGUUGGGGAUGAGCUCGCGGCCUAUCAGCUUGUUGGUGGGGUAAUGGCCUACCAAGGCGGCGACGGGUAGCCGGCCUGAGAGGGUGGACGGCCACAUUGGGACUGAGAUACGGCCCAGACUCCUACGGGAGGCAGCAGUGGGGAAUAUUGCACAAUGGGCGGAAGCCUGAUGCAGCGACGCCGCGUGGGGGAUGACGGCCUUCGGGUUGUAAACUCCUUUCGACCGCGAGGAAGCCACCUGGUUGGAAGGGUGGUGACGGUAGUGGUAGAAGAAGCACCGGCUAACUACGU